UUAUUUUAUUUAUUGAAAAGCUUGGACUUGUCUUUUAAACCCUUUUGAGCAAAAUAUGUUUAUCAAUUAUGGGUUAGGGCUAGUGAAGAUUAGAAAAAUGGCAUCCAAGUCAUUCAAAUAUGAUCGGCUAUGAAUUUUGGCUCCAUCUUUUCUUUCUCCCAUGGGUCAUCUUAUCCCCUUAUAAAUAGACCACAGACCCACUCUAACAGCAACAAAAGUUCCUGUCUUCUCUGCUUCAAAGUUCAAGCUCUUCUUUGAAGCCUCUUCUGGCAUAUCAGCUGGGCUACUCAUCAAGAAACAGAUCAAACAUUAAACACAAAGCCCUCUUUUCCAUUUCCUCGGCAUCUGUCUGCUAUUUCUCACUCUGUGCAAUCCAGAGAUGACAAGGCCAGCACAGUAUAUGGUGUAUCGCAUAAACUUGUUCCAGGCGGACCAAAUCCACUUCACAAUUGAUGGAAUUUUCCAUUAUCCAGCUUGUUUCCGGGAAGAACUCACAGGUUUCUCUUGUAGCUAGGAAAAAAAAAAAAAAAAAGAAAGAAGAAGAAGAAGAAGAAGAAGAAUAAAUCAUCCACAGUUUUCUUUUUGUAGUUGGUUCCUGAAAAUAAUGAUAGGGAAAGAAAAAGAAAGAUGCUCAAAAAUGGCUUCUUCCAUAGGAUCUAAUGUACUUCUCAGUUCUUUCCUUCAUUCUUUCCACGAACCAGCUUGUUUGGAGUUGUAAAAUGCUAUAUGUAUUACUAUCGAAAAGAGUAUCAUGGAUUUACCAUGUUAACUUAAAUCUCGAGAAAAAUAUAAGUUCAUUUUGUGUUA